UACAGAGGGUGCGAGCGUUAAUCGGAAUUACUGGGCGUAAAGCGUGCGUAGACGGCUAUCUAAGUCGGGUGUGAAAGCCCCGGGCUCAACCUGGGAAUUGCAUUCGAGACUGAAUAGCUAGGGUACGGUAGAGGGAAGCGGAAUUUCCGGUGUAGCGGUGAAAUGCGUAGAUAUCGGGAGGAACACCAGUGGCGAAGGCGACUUCCUGGCCUGUUCUUGACGCUGAGGCGCGAAAGCUAGGGUAGCAAACGGG
rnacentral:rRNA from 1 species